rnacentral:misc_RNA from 1 species
AACGCACAUUGCGCCCGCCAGCAUUCUGGCGGGCAUGCCUGUCCGAGCGUCAUUUCGACCCCUCAAGCCCAGCUUGGUGUUGGGGCCCCUACGCGCGCCGUAGGCCCCGAAUUCUAGUGGCGGGCUCGCCGCGAUCCCGAGCGUAGUAGUGCUACCUCGCCCAGGGCGCGCGGCGGGUGCCGGCCGUGAAAGAACCCCCCCAGCCAUCAAGGUUGACCUCGGAUCAGGUAGGAAUACCCGCUGAACUUAA